ensembl:snRNA U6 U6 spliceosomal RNA
GUGCUUACUUUGGCAACAUGUGUACUAAAAUCGAUACAAUUCAGAGAUUAGCAGACCCCUGCUUGAUGUUGAUACACAAAUUCAUAAAGCAUUCUAUAUUUUU